rnacentral:snoRNA from 2 species
AUCCCAGAUAAUGAUUCUAGCGAUUAUCUGAUUCAUGAGGGGCAAAGAACAAGGAUGGUGAGUUCGCUGAUAGCACCUUUAAUUUUGUAAAAAGGUGUUCUGAUAGUACCUCACCACACACAA